UACGUAGGGGGCUAGCGUUGUCCGGAUUUAUUGGGCGUAAAGAGCGUGUAGGCGGCCAUGUAGGUCCGGUGUGAAAACUCGAGGCUUAACCUCGAGAUGUCAUCGGAAACCAUUUGGCUAGAGUCCGGAAGAGGAGAGUGGAAUUCCUGGUGUAGCGGUGAAAUGCGCAGAUAUCAGGAGGAACACCUAUUGCGAAGGCAGCUCGCUGGGACGUAACUGACGCUGAGACGCGAAAGCGUGGGGAGCAAACAGG
rnacentral:rRNA from 1 species